rnacentral:rRNA from 1 species
UACCUUGUUACGACUUCACCCCAGUCAUGAACCACACCGUGGUAAUCGUCCUCCCGAAGGUUAGACUAACUACUUCUGGUGCAAUCCACUCCCAUGGUGUGACGGGCGGUGUGUACAAGGCCCGGGAACGUAUUCACCGUGACAUUCUGAUUCACGAUUACUAGCGAUUCCGACUUCACGGAGUCGAGUUGCAGACUCCGGUCCGGACUACGACGCGUUUUGUGAGAUUGGCUCCCCCUCGCGGGUUUGCAGCCCUCUGUGCGCGCCAUUGUAGCACGUGUGUAGCCCUGGCCGUAAGGGCCAUGAUGACCUGACGUCAUCCCCACCUUCCUCCGGUUUGUCACCGGCAGUCUCCCUAGAGUUCUCAGCCGAACUGCUAGCAACUAGGGAUAGGGGUUGCGCUCGUUACGGGACUUAACCCAACAUCUCACGACACGAGCUGACGACGGCCAUGCAGCACCUGUGUCAGAGUUCCCGAAGGCACCAAUCCAUCUCUGGAAAGUUCUCUGCAUGUCAAGGCCAGGUAAGGUUCUUCGCGUUGCGUCGAAUUAAACCACAUGCUCCACCGCUUGUGCGGGCCCCCGUCAAUUCAUUUGAGUUUUAACCUUGCGGCCGUACUCCCAGGCGGUCAACUUAGUGCGUUAGCUGCGCCACUAAGGAUUCAAGAUC